CAACCCCAACAUGCCAAGCUUUAAAGCAUUCAAGUCCACGCCCCGUUUUCCUUUUUUCCCCCAGUUAUAACAAUUACUAAGAAUAAUAAUAUUGUGUAUGUUGUAUUUAUAACAAAAUUCCCUUACUCCACAUAGAUUUGUGUCGGUGAAUUUGGAUUUUCUCUUUUAUAGUUUUUCUUCCUUCUCUUUCUCUCUGCCUUUCUUUUUUUGUUCUAAAAUAUAACUUUGUUGUGUCGGAAAAACAUUACAUUUCAAACACAUGACACAACCAAACUAAACUAUGUCAUCUCCAACUCUCCAUUCUUCUCCUCCCCCUUCAUAGUUCCAGCUUUCUUCCCCUGUUCUAAUAAAAACCCAAGCCUCCCGACUACACAACCCAGAGUUGAGGAACAUAGGAUUUCUCCAAUAAUUUGCAAGGCAUGGAGAAUGGAACAGGAGUUGUUGCUUCAAGGGAGAGUUCGAGGAAGCCCACGGCGGAGAGGCCUUACAAAGGGAUAAGGAUGAGGAAGUGGGGGAAAUGGGUGGCUGAGAUUAGGGAACCCAAUAAACGGUCGAGGAUUUGGUUAGGGUCUUAUUCAACACCUGUUGCGGCGGCUCGAGCUUAUGACACGGCGGUUUUUUACCUGCGUGGACCGUCGGCGAGGUUGAACUUUCCUGACCUUUUGGCGGGAGAGAGAGUUGGCAGCGCCGGUGGCGGCUCGCUCGGUGGGGAUUUGUCAGCGGCUUCUAUAAGGAAAAAAGCAAUUGAAGUUGGUGCUAGAGUUGAUGCUCUUGAGGCAGCUCACCACCACCACCACCAUCAUAAUCAUCGUGGUCAUAAUUAUAAUCAUGGUUAUGACGAAGAGUUGAAGCCAAGUACAGGCGGUUUUUUACAUCGGGUUGACUUGAACAAGAUGCCCGACCCGGAAGAUUCAGAUGGUGAAUGGGAAAGGAAAUAGGAAGUUAAAAAAAAAACAAGUUGAUUGAAUCAUGACCCUCCAACUUUUAUGAUUACAAAGUUGUAAUUUUCGUUCCGUCUCUUUUGGCGGCUACCCCGAGGGAAAAAAGGAAGGGGAAAAGAAAAGGGCGAAGAGGAGGGAGGGGGGGGUUUGCUAAAAUGCACCGGGGGCAAUUCCUAUCGUGCACACUGUAGUGGAGGCACUUUUUCUUUUCAUUGGUGGGAUUUGACGGUGGUAAAAAAUUUGACCGCUGGAGAAAAAGAAAAAGUAAAUUGAAGCCUCUUCACUGUGAUUCAGUAAAAAAGAUAUAUAAUUACUUUGGUGUCUUAGAAAUCAAGUCGCGGAUGUGAUGGAAUUUGAGCCAUUUUUGGUUUUAACAAGGCUUUACUCCUGUUCUUCGGGGAGAGUGGAGGGACCAGAUGUGCAAGUUGAAGCGACAUAGUCUAAAGAUCACUCCCCACCGAAAAAAAGCAAAUAAAGUGAGGAAAUAGAUAUAAUUAUUUUAAAAAUAAUUUAUAUGUUAAUUAUUUGUGUUAUACAAUAUUAUCUUUUUAAAAACAUAUAUUUUGUGAUAGUAUUAGAUAUUGGAAAUGGACAAGAAGAGAUGAAAAGGGAACAUGCAGUGGCCUACACAUUCGGGCAGUUAGGUGCAAAUUGGCCAUACUAACCACUAAUGCUAUAACUACUAGAGUGAUAAGAUUUUGAGGUAGGUAUUUUUCUGGUUCUCCACUCUGGAUGUGGGACAUGUGAAGCUAGAAUAAAAAUAAUAAUAAAAAGAAAAGAACGAUUGCCGUCCUCCUGGAAAUGGAUGAUGAUGUUUUGGUCGGUCCAACUUGGUUGUUGCGGAAGGUUUUUUUCAUAAUAAUCUAUUACAUUAGUUGUCAAAUCUCGCCCCUCCUUGACAAUCCAAAAACACCAAUACGAUUUUUAUGCUUUGACUUGUUUUCUUCUUCGUCCUCCUCCAACAACUUUCUUCCAAUCACCGAAAGAAAAUUGUUUGUUUAAGAGUAACUUAAGAAUCUUCAAUGCCCAUUGGCCUCUUUUGAUGUAGAUAUUUGGCCUAUUAGCCAUCUAUCAAAUCUGCGGAUUUAAGGGAUUGACAUGAAUUCCUUCUUAAUAACUGCGUGUUGACCCUGGUGAAAGAGUUGUAUGGCUAUAAUGUAAAUCCCAUACUAAAUACAGGAGUAAAUUUUGAGAAAAAGGUAAAACACAGGACAAAAUUGAACGUACUGCACGUGUCAUUUUCUCUCUCCAAUUUGUUUUUCAUUUGAGUUAAGCUUUUCCUUAGUUAUCGAGCUUUAUCUAAGGCAGCUCUUACAACUUCUCUUCUUGUGAUGAUACCGAUCUUCAAAUGACAGGAAGAGCGCAAUGUAAUAUGCAAGUGACAUGAUGAAUCCAGUUCUAGUGUCACGGGGCUAGACCUUUCGUCUCGCAAUCCGUGCGGCCUUAGGCGAUUCGCUCGUCCAAACUCGCCCAAGUCAGCCUUUACUCGAAUGAGGACUUCUUAAGAACUCCUCCAAGGCACUAACUCGUACAGCGGAAGACUUACUUACGCCAAAAGAAGCUUAUAAGAACAACAGAAAGGGACGCACACAAAGUGUUUGAGUAAAUGCUCUCUAUUCUCUUAUUCACAAAGAAUAAUGAAACAAUGAAUGGAGUGUGUACAAAUGAGGGGGAGGCUCUCUAUUUAUACUUGAGCUCCCCCAAAACCGACGGUCAAGAUACAAUUACAUCGACGGACGAGAUUAAAGGAUGGACCUUCAAUCUCUUCGAGCAACGGGCCAGUCCGAUCGGGCCAACUAGACUUUAAUUCGACAAGCUUCUCCAAUAGUUCCUUGAAUCGGGCCAGCUCACGUGGGCCAAAUGAUCCCCAUCUAAGUAAUAGACCUCCAUUGGAUGCAUUUGGUUCGAUGGUCACGGGCUCUAAACUCUGGCCCGUGACACUAGUGGUAGGUCGAUAUGGGUUUCGAUGAAAAUCUUAGCUUUGAAGCUUAAUGCUUUCCUAUAUACCAAAAGAAUGACAUAUAAAAGGGGAAGCAGUCAAGCUUUACUGUUGUUUCACGUACGACAAAUGGAGCUGCUGUCACUAAAUCCCCAACUACCGGUCCGUUGGUUUCAUUGAGUAACUUAUGUACUUUGUUGAAACUCUGCAAAAUUGAGGACCAUUGAGUUGGACAUAAGAAAAAGUAUAAAAUAAAUACAAA